AUGCCCAUUGAGGGCUCCUUGUUCUUGGUGGCGGUGGUCUUGGUUCUGCGUUGGGGCAUUGGAGCCUCUGGAGCUUCAUCUUGGUUGCGUAGGCACUUGGAGCCCGUGGGAGUUAGAACUCCCCCUGCCCGCUCUUAA
rnacentral:rRNA from 1 species